rnacentral:rRNA from 1 species
GUUUGAUCCUGGCUCAGGACGAACGCUGGCGGCAGGCUUAACACAUGCAAGUCGAACGCUCUCUUCGGAGAGAGUGGCAGACGGGUGAGUAACGCGUGGGAAUCUACCCAGUACUACGGAACUACAGUUAGAAAUGACUGCUAAUACCGUAUACGCCCUCCGGGGGAAAGAUUUAUCGGUAUUGGAUGAGCCCGCGUUUGAUUAGCUAGUUGGUGAGGUAAUGGCUCACCAAGGCGACGAUCAAUAGCUGGUCUGAGAGGAUGAUCAGCCACACUGGGACUGAGACACGGCCCAGACUCCUACGGGAGGCAGCAGUGGGGAAUAUUGGACAAUGGGCGAAAGCCUGAUCCAGCCAUGCCGCGUGUGUGAUGAAGGCCCUAGGGUUGUAAAGCACUUUCAACGGUGAAGAUAAUGACGGUAACCGUAGAAGAAGCUCCGGCUAACUUCGUGCCAGCAGCCGCGGUAAUAAGG